GAGGCUAGAAUGAAUGGUUUGACGAAGGUUAAGCUGUCUCUAUCUUAUUUUUUAGAAUUUAAUCUUCAAAGUGAUAAAGCUUAAAUUUUUUAAAGGGACGAGAAGACCCUAUAGAGCUUAUAAUUUUAGGGUUGCUUAACAUUAGUUAUUUGGGGAGCAAUUUAUAAAUUUUAAUUGGGGUGAUUAAGGAAUAAAUAAGAAAAUAAUAUAAUAACUUCCUUAGAUUGAAAUAUUGUUAAAUAAAGUAACCAAUGUUAUUAUUGCUUUUAUAAUAGUUACCAUAGGGAUAACAGCGUAAUCUGUUUAGAGAGUUCUUAUUGAAAAAUGGGAUUGCGACCUCGAUGUUGGAUUAAAGUAACCUCACGGUGCAGAAGCUU
rnacentral:rRNA from 1 species